CCUACGGGAGGCAGCAGUGGGGAAUAUUGCUCAAUGGGGGAAACCCUGAAGCAGCGCCGCCGCGUGAGGGAAGAAGGUUUUCGGUAUGUAAAGCUCUAUUAGUCGGGAAGAAAAUGACGGUACCUGAUUAAUAAGCCCCGUCUAACUACGUGCCAGCAGCCGCGGGAAUACGGAGGGGUCAAGCGUUCUCCUGAUUUACUGGGUGUAAAGGGAGCGUAGACGGGAUCACAAGUCCGGAGUUAAAUGCUGGGGCUUAACCACAGAACUGCAUUUGAAACUGGUCAUCGAGAGUGCGGGAGAGGUAGGUGGAAUUCGUGGUGUAGCGGUGAAAUGCGGAGAGAUUAAGCAGAAUA
rnacentral:rRNA from 1 species